CGAGGAACCCUAAUCAGAUUGCAAUAGUUCACAACCGUUGGAUUCACCGAUGGCGAUUACUGAAGUACUAAGCCUAAUGUACCUUCCACAGAUUCAUGUGUUCAUAGAUGGCGAUUCCGAUUUCGUUAUGUUGAUAAGGCGCUUACAAAUUUCGAUUCUGAUCAAGACUAAGGUACUUUUCUCACUGGAACCUGCCUUAGACUUGCUGCAAUGCCAUUCUAAAACAGACAGACACUUGAUCAAGACCAAGUGUUUGUAAUGGUGAUAAUGUCAACAAAACGUAGAGAGUCAAAUGUUUCUGUCCCGUUUUUUUGUUUAAGAUAAACGAUCUCAAUUUAUCAUCACGGAUACUCUCAUGUACACAUGAACGACAAAUAUCAACAUAGGCUGUUUUGUUCACUGACACUUAACGAAGACAACUGGCAUGGGGAAGCAAAUGAUACUAAGGUACUGGUUAUCUCCUUAGAAUCUGCCCUUCCAUUUUCUGUAUUGUGUACAGCAUUGGAUAGAGUUACUAGGUAGCUCGGAUUACUAAUUGUGACAAGCAAUGGAACCAAGGUUUUAACCCAUUAAUCUUGCUCGGAACAUUCGUGAGCGUCACAAGCUACCCUUGAAAACUCCUCUAAAGAGCCUACACAAGGAAAAAAAGUAACACAUGCUUAUCCUUGUAACAAAGAUAAGAGGUUGUUAAUGAAAUCAGCAAAACAUGUCUCUACAGUUAUUUUGUUUUUCUUGAAAACUAAGAGAGGUCUGUAGUGUAUCUUCUCGGUAUUAUUCAUAUAUAUAAAAAUUAUAUCUACAAGUUAUUUUAGAGGUUGUUAAUGAAAUCAGAAAAACAUGUCUCUACAGUUAUUUUGUUUCUCUUGAAAACUAAGAGAGGUCUGUAGUGUAUCUUCUCGGUAUUAUUCAUAUAUAUAAAAAUUAUAUCUACAAGUUAUUUUAGAGGUUGUUAAUGAAAUCAGCAAAACAUGUCUCUACACUUAUUUUGUUUCUCUUGAUAUUCAAAGAAUUUUGAUUAUCCUUUAGCAGUAUGUCUUGGAAGAACUUAAUGUAAGAUCUCUUGUGACAUGCAAUGAUACUCUGAAGUAUGCGGCAGAACCAGAUUUCAGUGUAUUGGUAAAACGGCUCGGGAAGUCAAUGGGGGCUCGUGGCAAAAGAAGUUAGAGAAAUGUCUCAGCAAGAUAUCUUAAGAUUCGAGGAGGCCGGAAAAGUGACUAUUGCUGGACACACGCUGGACCUAACAGAUAUCAAGAUUGUCAGGGUUUUCAAACGCUACGGUUUGAAAGAUACGGAGAUUGAUGCAAAUGGAGAUGGUACGGGAUUAGUUACCUUGUCUAUUUCUUUUGUUUACUAUUUGGAAGGAGACGCAACAGGAUGGUGGGACAGCAUAGAGGGAGUUUGAGAGGAAAUACUUUUCUCUAGAAGCAUAGAGCCAGUUCAUGAACCUUGUUCAAGGAGAUAGGCCCGUAAGGAGUUAUGAGUCGGAGUUUACAAGGUUAAGGCGACACGUUUUUGAUGGGCGCGAAGAUGAAGCAACUAUGAUCCGUAACUUUAUGUACGGAUUGAAUCCGGAGCUUGGAAGUCGUUUAGCUGGAAGCAACUUUAGCGGCUUAUCGGAUCUGGUGGAAUAAGCCAUACCGCAUUCUAGUGGACAUAUCAAGUUUAGCCAAGGAGGCCAAACCAAUUAUCGCAGUAACACUGGAGUGCGUUACAUAUGUGAUCAACCGGGACACAUUUCGAAGAAUUGUCCCAAUAGACAACGGAGUAACCAACAUGGUUAUUCAUCGCUGAGGAUGGAAGAUGUCACUUGUUUCUUCUGUGGAAGGAAUGGCCAUUAUGCAUCGUCAUGUCCAAACAAACCAAUCCAUGCGACCCCUGUAAUACCCGAUCCUGGUCUCUCGACCCAACUGGAUACGAAUGCUUACUUAUUAAUUUCUUUGCUUGUUUGAUUAAUUUUAAGUCUUCAUUUACUAAGUCACAUUUGAAUAUGAGGUUCAUAAACAAACGAACAGAUUUGCACAGCUGAAUAUAAAUGUGUAUAAAUUGUAUUA